CCUCCUGCAUUCAGGGCUCAUUCCCUCUUCCCACAUCCCCCAACGUUCUCCACUUGUCCCAUUUGUUACAAACCUACUGUCGCUUGUGUAUCUUCAGACAACUGCCGUCCCCCAGCAAAAGGCGGAUGCAAGCUUCUCGAAAGGAAAGACUUCAAAAGAAACUGAAAAUGUCACUCAAUUUAUUUAGUUUACAAAUUGGUCUCGAUGUGGUAAAAUAUUUAUCAAAACAUAUAGAGAGAAUAGAACUGAAGAGACAAAGCAUCAUCAUGAUGUAUCGAUGACCAUCACCAAGAAGUAUUGUCAUUUACAACCAAAACAAAGGAAUUGACUGCAGUCACAAGCAGGAUGUGGCAGGAUUUAUUACCAAUCCCUGGUGACCGACUAGAAGGAGAAAGUGAGCUUCCUCCUUGAACAGCUGCAUCCGUGUGAAAUAAGCAAGGGAAAGUCUCGCCAUUCCAGGAGGUGAUGUCCUUGAACAACCUUGCAAAUUUGAAAUGCAAGCCAAAAACUUAUAUUGGGAGUCAUCUGGAUGGGUUCAAACCAUCCUAAGAUUUGAUACAACAGUUAAAAAACGAUGAAAACAAUGUAAAAUACAAUUUUUAAAAAUGUCCUGACAAUGGAAAAAUUGU